GCAAAAGAAAAAGAGAGAGAAGGGGGGUUGGGGGAGGAGAUAACACAACAACAACUAGGAAAGAUAACAUAUGAAAGGAGAAGGUAAUGAGGAAAUGAAAAUCAUGGCCUAAGUGAGGCCAUAAAUAUGAGUCCCUAGAUGUUCCCAGAUCAUUAUUAGCUGUAGCCUAAAGGAAAAAUAUUUGAAAAUCAAUGCCCAGAAUUGUUGUAUGAUCAAAAAAAGAUAUAUGACAUAGCCAGGCUAACAGUGAGCAAAUUGCCUGGCAGAUAGCAAGUUUGCUUAGCAAAGUAUAGGACAGAUGCAUCGUUCAUUUGCUUCAAGGUUUUUGAAACACUUGCACUCAUUAACAGACAAUUUUAUCGCCAACCAGCCAUUUCAUGGAGAUGACAUGCAAAGACAAUCACCCG
rnacentral:misc_RNA from 1 species